rnacentral:misc_RNA from 1 species
GGCAGCUUUAAAAUUAGCAAUUUAUGCCCUUAUGCUUAUAUUCCAUUCUUUGAGAACUGGACUUACAAUUUAUUAUUAUUAGUAUUUGUGAUCUUUUAUUUCUUACUGUAUAGUAGUGCAGUAAAAGCUAUGGUAUGAUGUUUUAUUUAGUUUUCAUUCCUUUUAAUUGUUUAAGAAUAUUAUUUUUCAUUCCAAAUUCCCAAUUCAAGACUUUGGAUGCAAC